rnacentral:misc_RNA from 1 species
AAUUCUCAACCUUACCAGCUUUUUGUUUGAAGCUCGGUCAGGCUUGGAUCCUGGGAGUGUGCUGGUUCUAUAAGAGUCAGCUCUCCUUAAAUGUAUUAGCAAGAUUAAUCGCUGAAUCACAUUUGAUAUGAUAAUUAUCUAUAUCAUUGAUGAAACGGUGUUUUCCUUCAAGGAAGAAAUCUCGCUUACAACUGUCUUCUCGAAGACAAUUCUUUGAAUC